rnacentral:lncRNA from 1 species
CCUCAACUUUAUAAUUGGAAGAACAAAUACAAUCUCAAAGUCACGAGGCAUAAUGAUGAGACUUAUGAAAUUACAGUUUCUGGUAGUUCUUGUGUUGAUGAUUUGGUACCAGGGACCUUAGGUACUUAUGGAGCUUGCACAGAGAGGAGCAGGUCGUUGUGGGACAUGGAUUGAGGAUGCCAUGUUAAACGUUUAAACAUUUGAACUUAUGAUUUUCAUUAGGUUUACAUACUUCUGCUUCCGCUACUUAAAUUAUGUUUUUAUUGAACACCAGUUAUAUUGUGAUGGGUUGUAAUGAUUACUUUUAAUAUUUAAAUGUUGUGUUCAAUAUGAUUGGUGGCUUGAUCCUGGACAGUCACACUCCCAAGCGGUGAUACUCCGCGUGUGGAUUUUGGGGGUGUGAUAGAUUGGUAUCAGAGCCAUUAGUUAUAGAGAACUUGGUUUUAAUAUGGGGAAAACGUUUUUAUUAAAACCAGACUAUAACCAGAACAGUGCUCUCAACGAUCCACAAGACGCUUCGCUCCACGUGCAAGACUCAACAUCCUAGGUAAUAAGGUUUAUGUUUAUUGCCUACAUGCUAGAAUUACAUAGAACUUUGCUCGUGGUAUGCUUAGAAUACGUUGCCUACUAUUCGUUAUUGCUUGAGAACAAUUGAGUGCUUACUCUCUUCUGUCAUCGCACUACUCGCGAACCAAGUGGUGGGUUUGUUUUUUUUCACAACUAGAAAAUACAAGAACACAACCCUAGGCUCUCUCUCUCUCUCUCGUUUGCUUGGAACCCGACGGCGAACAACCCUUCUCGGCUCAUCCUCUCUUUGUUUCAAUCCAACCGGACCUUAGGUACAUUAUGGAGCUUGCACAGGGAGGAGCAGGUCGUUGUGGGAUAUGGAUCAUGAACGACAAUUGAACUUAUAACUAUUUUGGAGUUUACACUACUAUGCUUCCGCUACUUAAACAAUGUUUGGUUUGAAACAUCAAUCAUGUCAUGAUGAACUACCUUAAAUACUUUUAUUAUUA